rnacentral:rRNA from 1 species
CGGCGGACGGGUGAGUAACGCGUGGGUAACUUACCCUGUACACACGGAUAACAUACCGAAAGGUAUGCUAAUACGGGAUAAUAUAUUUGAGAGGCAUCUCUUGAAUAUCAAAGGUGAGCCAGUACAGGAUGGACCCGCGUCUGAUUAGCUAGUUGGUAAGGUAACGGCUUACCAAGGCGACGAUCAGUAGCCGACCUGAGAGGGUGAUCGGCCACAUUGGAACUGAGACACGGUCCAA